rnacentral:rRNA from 1 species
UACGUAGGGUGCGAGCGUUAAUCGGAAUUACUGGGCGUAAAGCGUGCGCAGGCGGUGAUGUAAGACAGAUGUGAAAUCCCCGGGCUCAACCUGGGAACUGCAUUUGUGACUGCCUCGCUGGAGUGCGGCAGAGGGGGAUGGAAUUCCGCGUGUAGCAGUGAAAUGCGUAGAUAUGCGGAGGAACACCGAUGGCGAAGGCAAUCCCCUGGGCCUGCACUGACGCUCAUGCACGAAAGCGUGGGGAGCAAACAGG